CUUGACCGACCCGAGCAGCACCGGUUCCGCGCGGUCCUGGCCGUAGGUGGCCAGCAGGGCCUGCGCUUC
rnacentral:antisense_RNA from 1 species